UGUGAUCACUGGACCACCCUGAACGGGCCCGAUCUCGUCUGAUCUCGGAAGCUAAGCAGGGUUGGGCCUGCUUAGUACUUGGAUGGAAGACUGAAAACACUCUUACAGACAUAA
rnacentral:rRNA from 1 species